rnacentral:rRNA from 1 species
AAUAUUGCACAAUGGGCGCAAGCCUGAUGCAGCAACGCCGCGUGCGCGACGAUGGCCUCCGGGUCGUAAAGCGCUUUUCGGGGAGAUGAGCACGGACAGUAUCCCCGGUAGAAGGAUCGGCUAACGACGUGCCAGCAGCCGCGGUAAAACGUAGGAUCCUCGCGUUAUCCGAAUUCACUGGGCUUAAAGCGCAUGCAGGCGGCCGCAAAAGUUAGAUGAUGAUUCACCCGGCUCCACUGGGAGGGGACGUUCAAAACUGUGCGGCUAGAGGGAGGUAGAGGAAGGUCGUAUUCCCGGUGUAGUGGUGAAAUGCGUCGAUAUCGGGAGGAAUACCCGUGGCGAAGGCGACCUUCUGGACCGUUUCUGACGCUCAGAUGCGAAAGCUAGGGGAGCGAACGGG